ensembl:lncRNA
CCGCGUCCUCCCCCGGUCCCGCCCCCCAUGGGCUGAUCGUGACGUAACGAUGGUGCGGGUGGCGAAGUUGUGGGGGCGGAGGGGGGGCCGGUAUGACGUCAUGGCCGGCGAAGGCCUUGGCUGCGGUGGAAGGUUUGGGAGCGGUCGCGCCGCCAUUUUGUGGGUGCCCGGGUUGCCCUCGUGGGUAUGGAGUGGGUUGGUGAUCGCAAGGAUCCCCUGAGUUCAUACAGGCUUGGGGCAGAGUGGCUGGCAAGCUGCACAGAGCCAAAGGAUGUGGGGAACAGCCAGCUGAACGUGAGCUAGCAGUGUGCCCAGGUGGCCAGGAAGGCCAAUGGCAUCCUGGCUUCUGUCAGCCAUAGCUUUGCUAGCAGGAGCAGGGAGGUGACUGUCCCUCUGCACUCAGCUCUGGUGAGGCUGCACCUCGAGUGCUGUGUUCAGCUGUGGGCCUCUCACCAUGAAAAGGACAUGGAGGCCCUGAAGCAUGUCCAGAGAAGGACAACGAAGCUGUGCGGGGUCUGGAGCACAAAUCUUACGGGGAGCACCUGAGGGAACUGGGGUUGUUUAGUCUGGAGAAGAGGAGGCUCAGGGGAGACCUUAUCGCUCUCUACAACUACCUGAAAGGAGGUUAUGGUGAGGAUGGGUGUCAGCCUCUUCUCUCAGUUAACAGUGAUAGGAUGAGAUGAAAUGGCCUUGAGUGGCACCAGAGAAGGUUCAGGUUGGAUAUUUGGAAAAAUUUCUUCUCAGAAAGGGCAGUGAGGCACUGGAAUGGGCUUCCUGGGGUGGUGCUGGAGUCACCGUGCCUGGAGGUGUUCAAGAAGUGUGUCGAUGUGGCACUGAGGGACAUGGCUGCACAUUCAGUGAAGAACCUGCCCCAGACUGUUCCAUACCUCCACGGGAUGCAGACAGCCCAUACCAAGCAACCGUGGGGAGCCUGGGGGUCACUGUGGCCAGAGUUAAGUCAGCAGCCCAUUUCUUUCCCUGUCGCUGGAGGCAUUUGAGGCCAGGCUGGAUGUGGCUCUGGGCAGCCUGGCCUGGUGUUUGGCGACCCUGCACAUAGCAGGGUGGUUGAAACUUGAUCAUUGUGGUCCUUUUCAACCCAGGCCAUUCUAUGAUUCCAUGAUUCUUUUCCAGUCAGGCUGCUGUUCAUACUCUCUUAUGCUGGAAGAGAGAUGGCUUUUUCCUUGUCUUUUUUUCCGUUUUUUAUUUUGAGAGUUUGCUCCAUCUCUUUGCUAAUUUAAUGAAAAUGUUACAUAAAUAAAGUGCAGCUUUGCUUCACUAAGCAGAGGAAUGGAACAGCAUUUUGCUUGAGUUGUAUUCAAGAUCGAAAUUAGUGCUCAACAGGCAGCACUGGACUGCACAGUCAGCAAUUUUAGAGAGCUGGAGGAGUAAGGAUCUUUUUUCCCUCGGACUGUAAGAAAAGGCCGUACAGCUGAAGCUAUCAAUGCAAAUGAUAGCUAACCUUGCCAGCCAGUAGCUCCUCUUCUGUAGUAAUUCACUGGUCCUAUGUCCAUGGCCAUUUAGCCUGUGCAACAUGUUGCAUGUAGGGCUGGCCUGGUUUGACUUCAGUGUGCAAACAGUUCCUUAGGGUGACACUCUGUUCUAUCAGGCAAGGUUUUAACUGCCUGUUUGCCCAGUGUGAGCAGAAAAAAAAACAAAACCCUUAUUUAAGAUUGGGACAUAAAAAAAUUCUUUCUCCAAACUGGACAUUGUGGCCACACCAUAAUGUCGUGUUACCUUAUUUCUUGAUCCUAGUUACUGGUUUCAGGGGAGAUAAAGCCAUCUUGCUCCUAACAAAGUCAAUGAGAUUAGGUGCAAGUCCCAUUUUUUUCUCACUCGAGCUAAAAUGCCAUGUGCUUAUUGAAAUGUGACCAACGUUAGGUCUUUUCACGUCUGUAAAUCUGAACUUGACUUUUUAACGUGUUUUAAAUAAAGUUGCUUCACAACAGGUGU